rnacentral:rRNA from 1 species
UACGUAGGGGGCAAGCGUUGUCCGGAAUCAUUGGGCGUAAAGCGCGUGUAGGCGGUCCGGUAAGUCGGCUGUGAAAGUCCAGGGCUCAACCCUGGGAUGCCGGUCGAUACUGCCGGACUAGAGUUCGGAAGAGGCGAGUGGAAUUCCCGGUGUAGCGGUGAGAUGCGCAGAUAUCGGGAGGAACACCAAUGGCGAAGGCAGCUCGCUGGGACGUUACUGACGCUGAGACGCGAAAGCGUGGGGAGCAAACGGG